CUUCCCCGGAAACGGAAAGAGGAAAGGAAAGGUAAGGCCCACAACUCAGGGCCUAAGGAUCCGUUUUCCUCAGGUUUCCUGAUGGGCGGGGCCGAGUGGCCGGCGCCGACUGGCCGGUAGAGCCGUCGCUCUUGGCCGACUCCUCUUCCUAUUGGCUUCCCCGGGCACCGCCCCCUGAACAGGGCGGGAGAUUCGGUGUGCCGCACGCAGGCUUCCCAUCCCCCAGCUGGCCUGCAGGGCUCCUUACCUCCGCCGUCGUCGGGCGCGAAUUACUAGAAAUUGGCUUCUCCCAUUGGGGCCGAAGGUGCUUUCCCUGCGGCGGCGACUCAGCGGGGUGUCGUUCGGCCGGCUUGAGGCGGCCGGAUCGGCGCCAGGCGGAAACCUAGCGGUGACUCUGUCUGAAUUUUGCAGCUGCAGAAUGUGUAGUACCUUAAAAGGUUGGCAACAAUGAGUAAACCAGAGUUAAAGGAAGACAAGAUGCUGGAGGUUCAUUUUGUGGGAGAUGAUGAUGUUCUUAAUCACAUUCUUGAUAGAGAAGGAGGAGCUAAAUUAAAGAAGGAGCGAGCUCAGCUUUUGGUCAACCCCAAAAAAAUAAUGAAGAAGCCAGAAUAUGAUUUGGAGGAAGAUGACCAGGAGGUCUUAAAAGAUCAGAACUAUGUGGAAAUUAUGGGAAGAGAUGUUCAAGGUAUUUGAGGGGGUGAAAUAUGCACUCAUGUUUCUGCUAGUAGCAAAAUUGCUUUAUAAGAUACACAAAAGUAGUCUGGUAGGUUAAACAGUGGUGUUCUAUAUUAUCGUGUUUCUCAUUUAAAAAGCAUUUGCUUUAAUUUCUCCACAGUUCUUUUUUUUUUAACAACCAGUCCUGCACAUAGUUUUCAGUAAGAAGGAAUCUAUAGACCAACCAUUCUAAAGUUAUUUUCUUUUUAUUUUAUUUUUUAAAUUUUGCCGGGA
rnacentral:lncRNA from 1 species